AGCAAAAUGAGGAGAUCAAUCGAUCUGAAGUAUCUAAUGUUGAUAUAUCCAUUCAUGGUCUUCAAAGUUCUCUGAUUGCU
rnacentral:snoRNA from 10 species